rfam:Bacteroidales bacterium Barb6XT Barb6XT_contig_308, whole genome shotgun sequence.
AUUCGACACUAAACGGUACGCGUGCCGAACAGUCUCGAGGGAGAUGCGCCCUGCCUCCUGGCAAAAAACAACAAAUGAAAAAGCGUGUGGCAGGUUCAGUCUCGAAGCACGCAGUUUCU